GACGAACGCUGGCGGCGUGCCUAAUACAUGCAAGUCGAACGCAUUUUCUUUCACCGUAGUUUGCUACACCGAAAGAAAAUGAGUGGCGAAAGGGGGAGUAACACGUGGGUAACCUGCCCAUCAGCGGGGGAUAACACGUGGAAACAGGUGCUAAUACCGCAUAAUUCCAUUUACCGCAGGGUAGAUGGAUGAAAGGCGCUGUUGCGUCGGCUGGGGAUGGACGCGGGGUGCAUUAGCUAGAUGGUGGGGUAGCGGCUUACCAGGGCUGCGAAGGGUAGCCGGCCUGAGAGGGGGACCGGCCACAUUGGGACGGAGGUACGGCCCAGACUCAUACGGGAGGCAGGAGUGGGGAAUAUUGCACAAUGGGCGGAAGCCUGAUGCAGCAACGCCGCGUGCGGGAUGACGGCCUGCGGGGUGUAAACCGCAUUCGCCUGUGACGAAGCGUGAGUGACGGUAAUGGGUAAAGAAGCACGGGCUAACUACGUG
rnacentral:rRNA from 1 species